rnacentral:rRNA from 1 species
CGGGUGAGUAACGCGUAGGCAACCUGCCCUCUGGUUGGGGACAACAUUCCGAAAGGGAUGCUAAUACCGAAUGAGAUCCUCUUUCCGCAUGGAGAGAGGAUGAAAGAUGGCCUCUACUUGUAAGCUAUCGCCAGAAGAUGGGCCUGCGUCUGAUUAGCUUGUAGGUGAGGUAACGGCUCACCUAGGCGAUGAUCAGUAGCCGGUCUGAGAGGAUGAACGGCCACAUUGGGACUGAGACACGGCCCAAACUCCUACGGGAGGCAGCAGAGGGGAAUCUUCCGCAAUGGACGAAAGUCUGACGGAGCAACGCCGCGUGAGUGAUGAAGGCCUUCGGGUUGUAAAACUCUGUUGUCAGGGACGAAAGCACCGAUCUAUAAUACAGUUUGGUGUUGACGGUACCUGACGAGGAAGCCACGGCUAACUACGUGCCAGCAGCCGCGGUAAUACGUAGGUGGCAAGCGUUGUCCGGAAUUAUUGGGCGUAAAGAGCAUGUAGGCGGGCUUUUAAGUCCGACGUGAAAAUGCGGGGCUUAACCCCGUAUGGCGUUGGAUACUGGAAGUCUUGAGUGCAGGAGAGGAAAGGGGAAUUCCCAGUGUAGCGGUGAAAUGCGUAGAUAUUGGGAGGAACACCAGUGGCGAAGGCGCCUUUCUGGAAUGUGUCUGACGCUGAGAUGCGAAAGCCA